UAUCCGUGACGUGCGUCCUCUCGUACCUUCCUGCGCGCGUUUGAAACGCGGGGAACAGGACAUGGGAUUAUCUGGCACCGGAAGAGCUCGGUACAAGAGUGUGGCGACAGCUCGUGACGAUAGUGUAAAGACCGAGGCGUUGGCCAUUUUGGUGUUGUUGAGCAGUGUGGUCUCAGUCCUGUACUACCUUGGGCUGAUGCAGUGAAUCAUCGUUAAUCAAGAUCUCAUGGGUUAUGCAGCUAACAUUGGGAACCACAGCCACAGAGACAUUAAGCGUGGUUGGCAACAUAUUCAUUGGACAGACAGAGGCACCACUGUUGAUCCGUCCUUACUUAAAGGACAUGACCAAAUCAGAGAUCCACGCUGUCAUGACUGGAGGAUUUGCCACCAUUGCAGGCAGUGUAAUGGGGGCGUUCAUCUCCUUUGGUAUUGACCCGUCCUCUCUGAUAUCCGCCUCAGUGAUGGCUGCACUGUGUGCUCUAGCCAUCUCAAAGCUCU